rnacentral:rRNA from 1 species
UACAGAGGUGGCAAGCGUUGUUCUGAAUUACUGGGCGUAAAGGGCGCGUAGGCGGCCCGUCAAGUCCCGUGUGAAAGCCCCCGGCUCAACCGGGGAGCGGCGCGGGAAACUAGCAGGCUUGAGUUCGGGAGAGGGAAGCGGAAUUCCGGGUGUAGCGGUGAAAUGCGCAGAUAUCCGGAGGAACACCGGUGGCGAAGGCGGCUUCCUGGACCGACACUGACGCUGAGGCGCGAAAGCUAGGGGAGCAAACGGG